rnacentral:rRNA from 1 species
UACGUAGGGUGCGAGCGUUAAUCGGAAUUACUGGGCGUAAAGCGUGCGCAGGCGGUUUUGUAAGACAGGCGUGAAAUCCCCGGGCUCAACCUGGGAAUGGCGCUUGUGACUGCAAAGCUGGAGUGCGGCAGAGGGGGAUGGAAUUCCGCGUGUAGCAGUGAAAUGCGUAGAUAUGCGGAGGAACACCGAUGGCGAAGGCAAUCCCCUGGGCCUGCACUGACGCUCAUGCACGAAAGCGUGGGAGCAAACAGG